AUAGUUAAAAAUAAACAACUACUGAACUGAGUAUCUAUCAGAGAAGGGGGCUCUGAGGAUCGGGCGAUAUUGAGUCGACCUAGAACUCUUACUGAUUCAAAAAAUUUCCCUAUCUGAUCGUCUGCAUGUCCACAAAUUUCUCAUAAAAACAUCAAUCGAGUUUCUCUUCUUACUUAAAUCCUCCUCAUCCUAAUCCCUAACUCUUUUCGAUUUCAUUAUUCAUAUCCAGGUUUUAUUAUCCUAAUUUUUUUCUUCCCAACUUUAAGCCAUGAGUGGCUAAUUCCUUUUCUUAGCCUUUGAUGGAUAAAUCAUAAACAAGUUUCUAGAUCUACUGCAAAAUUAGGAGAUAUGAAUUAAAAGUUUAUGGAGUUGGAAGAAGUCCUGGAUCCCGGUUUCACCUCAAUCCCAAGUACACAAACCCUAACUAAUGAAGAUUUGUUAGGUAAUCCAUGGGUUUCAGCUUGGCAGCUGGGCUUUUGUAUCACCUUGCUGUUGAUUGGCAGGGUGAUGUAUCUCUGUUUUCUUUCUCCUCAAGCGCCUUGAAUUUGAGUAAUAGUUUUCGACUAGUUCUAGAUGAGAUCCUUCUUAUGUCUCAUGAGGGUCUAAUUGCUUUUGUAGUUAAAAUUGUAGGUUCAAGGAAGAAAUUUCUAUGGUUUUUUUUUUCUAUCUGUUUUUGGGUUGCUUUUAAGAUGCACAGGAUCCAAUCCUCUGAAAUAUGAGAGUUUUAUUCUUAUUGUUGAAGUGGGAGUUUUUGUUAAUCUCUUACAUUGGAGUCCUUAUGUAGCGAUGUUCUUGUUUUCUAUCCUUGGUCACAUUCCCGAACAAGUUUCUGAUUAGUACUUGUGCUUUCUAACCAAAUUUAAGCCUUUAAAAAAGUAGUAUUUCCUUCUUCCAAGCAAAAGUGAGAUUAAUUUCCCAUCAGGUUUAUAUUUUUAUUUGUUGGAAUUGGUUUAGGUCAGAUUUUGGGGUGAAUUUGAAUUACAUAUCUUACACAAUCUUUGUGAUAUCCGUGGAUUGAUUGAGCAUAAGAUAGUGGGUACAUCCUUUUGCCUUCGUUAACCAACAAGCAGAUGGUGGUGAUAAGUGUUAAUAUUAGAUGAAACCCAACAGAAGGUACAAUCAUCCUUGUACUUGUGCAUCAUUUCUAUCUUAUAAAGCUCCAGUCAGAAGUUCCAGUUGAAUAGAAGAGCAUUGAUCAUAACCUUGGUGACAACUCCAACCAUAAUUAGUACAAGAUAUCUCUAGAAGAAUCAGUAGACCUGUGAAACUUUUUUGUUUAUUGAUGCCAUCAGAGACUAUGAAGCCUAAUCCUCUUGUUUUAUGUUCUAUCUUUCUCUUAUUUGUUAUCUAUUUUCUGUUUUUAUUACCUUUUAUAUCUAUCUGUAAUUAGUAAAAGUAAUUUUUUCUGGCUGAGGUUUUCCUCUGA